UCAAGUGUUGCCUUGACGUAAAGGACAGCUACCUUCACCUUUUCUCUGGCAUUCAGCUCUUUUAACAAUUACUGGAUCGAGGCUGUACCUUUGUCAUGAGCUGAAUAACCUUGGAGGAACUAGAACCAAGAAUCUGCAAGGAGAUUACAGGCUGUUACUUUGUUCACACUUUCCCUCCAUGUUGCACACUUCCCAUGUGAGGCUAGCAGAGCAGGAUGCCUUCUCCAAGACCACAUCUACUCUUCCCUACUGAAGUGGAGUUACAUGACUUCUUGUAAAAAUUAAAAAUCAGAAGUGAUAGAGGAGAAAGCAAGUGCUGAACUGCAUCUGUGCUGUAGCACCUCUGCCAAUUAUAAUGCUACUACACUAUGCUCAUCAAGUAGUACAUCCUGCAUUAGCAUUUCUGGUGCAAAGAAGGAAAGAAGACAACAAAACUCAAGGUCUUUUUUAAAAAUUAUGGCAAAUUGUUGACCAGACAAGUUAGCAACACCAACUUCACUAUGGCCAGCCCAAGGAAGCUGUCGUUAAAACUGUGGGACUAACCCUGUUACUUUUACCAAAGUGGUUGAGACUGCAGAAAGGAAUCUUUCUUUUUACAUUCAUCUGACUUUUUUUGUUCUAACAAAUUUACAUAGCACCUUUUAUUUCCUCAGCACACCCCAAAGCAUUUCAAAGCCAAUUAAGUGUGACCACCCAUGUUUUGUCGGCAAAUGUUGUAGCCAAUUUAAAUACAGCAGAGUCCCACAAACAGCAAAUGAGAUAAAUGGCAAGCUGAAUUUAUUUUUGGGAUCUUGUUUUGUCCAGCAUUCAUAUCUCAACCAUCAAGAGGACACUUUGUUCUUCCUCAAAGCAUUGUGGGAUUAAUUUUCCCUAUUUGAACUGCAACAUACCCUUUCGUGUGGUGUAAGCCAGAUAUGUGUAUUGGAAUGGGGAGUGAACUCAUAACCUUCUGACUCAGAGGCAAAGUGCAGUCAUUGAGCCAAGCCAACAUUUCAAUAUUGGUUAAGGUCAGGUCAUACCAAGUAUUUGAACCCUUGCACUAAACUCUUCUGAGAACAGCUUAUCCCCCCCUCCAUAAUGCAUUGAGAUUGUAACCACAAAUACUAAGCCAUAAAGCACAUUGGAAAAGGUCUUUCUUACAUCUAUGGAAACCACUGGAUGGCUCUAUCCCUUGUUGUAAAGUUUGCAACCACAUUCGUGGUACAGUAGCAACUAAAUUAUUCCACUAUAAAAGCAACCUGAUGCAAGACUAUGGUGUACAAAAUGCCUGUUAUCUCAAGGUUUCCUAUUCGAGUAUUAAACUGGAAUUACAAUCAACAUGUUGCAAAAGUGGAUUGCUGUACUGGAUGUCAAGAAUUUACACGGAUGGCAUCAUUUUUCAUCCACGAUUGCAAGAAUUCAUCUACUUUCUGAUUCAGCUGCAGUUUUUAAUGAAUGUGAUCUUAUGACAAACAUUUUAAAUAUCAUGUAAAUAUGAAAGUCUAAACACUAAUUUAGUCUGUAAAAGGUAGGAAAAGGCAUUUGUUCCCCUUUUUUCAUCCACUUGAAAGGCUUCAUGGUGAAGCAUAAUAAAAUAUCUAACUAUA